rnacentral:tRNA from 4 species
GGGGGAAUAGCUCAGUCGGUUAGAGUGCUGGUCUGUCACGCCAGAAGUCGCGGGUUCGACCCCCGUUUUCCCCG